CCGAAGGGGCAGAGUUUUCCUCAGUUUGGAUCUAAGCCUCGGGGACAAAAAUAAAGUGCUUCCAUCCCCAGCCAAUCCCAGGAAAGGCAGAAGGGCAAUCCUCCAAUGGGAGCCGGGGAGCCGUCCGUAGCGGCGUAGGCCCGUUCCCCCGCUCGCGCUCCAGCCCGCGGAAAGGUCGCGUUCAGUGUAUCUUCCAGUUAAUGCUGCAAGCCCCUCUUAUCAAUGCGCUCGCGCGGCGGCUGCGGCGGCGGCGGCGGCGGCGCCUGCGUCGGCUGCGUCGGCUGCGUCGGGAGCGUUUGCGCCGACGCUGAUGGCCGGAGGUGUAAGGUCAACUGGUUGCGGAGGAUCGUGCGGGUAGCAAAGAGAGGCCGAGUAGUCCUGCGGCUCUCAGCCGGCAACCAAUUACUUCCUCUGUUGAAGUCUUGAACCCCUGAAAGUCAUCCCUGAGGGUUGGAGUUAACUUCUUCUACACUCCUGUUAAUGUUGAUGUUUUGACCUCCUCUCAUGCAUCACAAAUGUUCUUAAUGACAUCUAGAAUGGUUUGGGGAAAGUCUCAGCCUCAGUAACCAUCCCAGACACAGUCCAGAGGAUAUGAGCAGGCGGAGUGGGUCAUACGGAAAACAGGGCUGUUGCUGCCAUGGACUGAGGCAGGCUGGCCACCCAGAGGCUACAGGAUCAAGUCUUUUUGAUAGGUAGGUGACCGGCCUGGACCAUGGUCCUGAUGUCUGGGUGAGCACCCCCUUCGCGAUUCCUUGUGUUUCAUAUACAAACAACCAGAAGGGUUUACAAAUAUCUGGCAAGGCCAGGACUGGGGCCGAGGUCAGAGCAACUUUAUCAAAAGCCUGUUGUUCUACUACUAUCCAAAUUAGGGGUUGAUUCCCUCCUCUGCAGGCAUACAGAGGCCUGGCUGUUUUGGCAAAACCUAAAAUCCAUAGCCUACAGAACCCUACUGCCCCCAGGAACUCCUGAACUUGGUGUUUUGUGGUAGGGGUGGGUAUCUGUAGUACUGCUUAGACUCGGCUGGUUGCCAGCGCCCGGUUGCCCUUUUUAAUUAUAUAGCCCAGGUAAGUAACCUUUUGUUGACAGAGUUGGGCCUUUUUGGCAGAGACUCGAUAUCCCAGAGUUUGUAGGGUCAACAGUAAUGACUGGGUGGCUUCCCUGCAGGCCUCUUGGGUUCUUGAGGCCAGAAGUAAGUCAUCUGUGUAUUAGAGCAGAGUACAUUCAGGGAACUCGGCCCGGAAGGUGGCAAGAUCCUGGCUAAGUGCUUCAUCAAAUAGGGUGGGAGAGUUCUUGAAUGCCUGAGGCAGCCGGGUCCAUGUGAGUUGCCCCAGGACCCCAGUGUCCAGGUCCGUCCACUCAAAGGCAAAUAUGGGUCUGCUGACUGGGGCCAGUGGGAUGCAAAAGAAUGCAUCCUUGAGGUCCAGGACAAUAUAGUAAUGGUGGUUCGGAUUCAGGAGGCUUAGGAGGGUAUAUGGAUUUGGGACCGUGGGGUGGACAGUUUCCACUCUUUUAUUUACUUCCCUUAAGUCCUGUACUGACUGGUAAUCCUUUGUGCUAGGUUUUAGAACAGGGAGCAGAGGGGUGUUCCAGAGUGACUUACAGGUAGGUGGUGAGAAUUCCUCCUUCCAGGAAUUGUUAUGUCUUGUUAUAUGCGGAGCGAUUUCCCCGCCUGGCUUCCUGACUCACUGGGUAUUGUCAUACCUGGACCAGAGCUGCCAUCGCCAACAUUUGGACCACAACCAGGGUAUGGUGUUCUGCCAGACCUGGGGGAUUGGUCUCAGCCCACACUCCAGGGCAAUACAGCUCUGGAUUCUCCCAAAUAUUUAACCCCUGCAGCAAAGAGAAAUUGAGGAAAUACAACAAGCUAUCUCUCAAAGGCAACUAGAUCACAUCCAUCCACUGUAUUCAAUUGUUUGUUUUUUCCACCAAACACUCCCUUACAGAGUUAAUAGGAUAGAUGACCCCAGAACUGUUCUUUCUAGAAUGAGUUUUUUGCUCACCUACCGGGACUAAAACAUUAUCUCCCUAUAUCCAGUUAAUCAGUAAAGUCAUGUAUUCAGGCUGUAGACGAUGCAAUGUUUCUAGGUUAUGAUCCUGAUAUCAUCAGGAUUCCUUUGAGUAAAAAGCUAUUCGAAGCAGCUUUGCCCCUAUAAUUAGAUUGGCAAAUAGCACUCUCCAAUUACACAGGUCAAAUAGAGAAUGCCCUUCCUGCUGAUAAACUCCUUUAGUUCUUAUCUCAUAUUUUUGAUAAUCUUACCUACAAAAAUAGUUCACUCCCCCAUACUUAAUGCUUUAACACUGUUUAAUGAUGGUUUGGGUAAACAUGGAAAAGCUGCAGUCUGGUGGAGACCACAUAAUUUUCUCAUUGACCUGGACUCAGCUGAGAUUGGGGCCCUGAUAUUGGCCUUGGAAACUUUUUCCACUCUGCCAAUUAACAUUGUUAGUGACUCUGCUUACUCUGUUUUGCAGAACCUUCAAACAUCCCUCAUAAACUCUACGCCUGAGCCCACCCUGUGUGCACUUUUUCUUCAACUUCAGCAAUUGCUGGAUCAAUGCACACAUCCUAUUUUUAUCACACAUAUUUGAGCCCACUGCUCACUGCCUGGCCCAUUGGCUUAUGGCAGUGAACAAGCAGAACUUCAGGUUAUCACUGCUUCAGGUUAUCACAUCACUGCUUGACCAAGCCACCCAGUUGCAUCAGUUUUUCCACCAAAAUUGGAGAAACUUAUCUAAACAGUUUCAACUUACUCAAAGAAUAGCUAAACAUAUUAUCUUACAAUUCCCAGAUUGCCAGCUAACAGGCACAUUCCCUCCUUCAACAGGUGUUAACCCUAGAGGACUAGAACCUAAUCAGUUAUGGCAAAUAGAUAUUACAUACAUCCCUGAAUUUAGAAAACAGAUAUGUACAUGUAUUCAUUGCUACCAGUUCACAUUUAAUUAGCACUCAUGCUUUUCCUGGAGAGUCCAUCUAAUAUGUUAUUAAGCAUCUUCUUUUAACUUUUGCAUUUAUGGGGCAGCCCACAAAAAUGAAAACUGAUAAUGGUCCGACUUACUAUGCCAGCUCACAAUUUCAACAAUUUUAUCACACAUGGAACAUCCAACAUUCCACAAGGCAUCCCAUAUGACCCCCAAGGACAGGCCAUAGUAGAAUGUGCCCACUCCACCCUUAAAAAUAUGCUCAAAACACAAAAGGGGAGUAUGGGUAAGGACCGUGCAAGACUAUUGGAACAAGCCUUAUAUACCUUUAAUUUUUAAAAUUUAGAUGAUAAAUUUCAAUCAGCUGUAGAAAAGCAAUUUGCUAAAACCUCUGAAGACAUAAAACCUGCAGUUUUAUGGAAAGAUGUAAACAGUAAUGUAUGAUGUGGUCCAAAUUAUUUACUAACAUGGGGAGGAGGAUAUGCUUGUGUUCAGACCCCGUCAUUUCCUCUUUGGAUUCCAGCAUGAUGCAUCAAACCAUACCAUAGCACGGGUAGGACCCAGCCUGGUACCAGAAAUGAAGAAACUGACCUGAGAGCACCUGAUAUUCCCAGGUGGUCUCCCAUCCAAGUACUAACCAGACCCGACCGUGCUUAGCUUCCAAGAUCAGACAGAAACAGAAAGAUUGGAGAGAGAAAUAGAGGGAAUGAGUAAGCAACAGCCUAGAAGAGACAGAGAUGAGAGACACAAAAAGUAAGACAAAGGAGAGAAAGUAGAAGAGAAAGAAAUAUUAAAGUUAUAGGUAUAAGAAUGCACCUUUAGUAAGGAAGCUUAUAAAACACUGAAAAGGCGUGUUGAAGAUUGCGAAAGUCAUGAAAAAUGUUCAAGAAAUGUGUAAUUUUUGUUUCGAAGGUCUAAGCAAGUUUUAAAAUGUUAAUUAGAGAAAUUCUAUGUGUAAACAUAUUAAGUUAAAGAAGUAUUAUCCAGUUCUUCUGUAAACUAAACAUUAAAGCAUAACAGGUUUUUCUUAAAGCACUAACUGACUCUUUAACAAAGAUUAUAACAGUUCUCUUAGCACAGGCACCACCCCUAGAAUUUCCAGUACACCACCACCAGCUUGGAGACUACGUCCUCAUCAAAGGAUGGAAAGAAGAAAAAACUGAAGCCAUGAUAGGAAAGACCCUACAGGACCCAUAGCCCCAGAAAAUGUGGUUUCCAUGAACAACGCAAGCCCUGGACAUUACCUGGGGGAUGCUGAAGAAGAGAACUCAAAAGG